GACCCACAGCAACAAUUUUGUGCAGCUUUCACACCGAGUUGUCAUUUUUGUGCCGUCAGUUAGAAUGCAGACUUGUGUUUAUUUUCUCGUCUUUCUUCAUAUCGCUGUCGCAACCAUGUGACUCAGUGGCUUUGUCUCAAACCCACAACUGUUGCACAGCAAAAUUGUGCAGCUUUCAAACUGUCAUUUUUGUGCUGUUGGUACGAGGCAGUCAGAAUGCAGACUUACGUUUAUCUCCUCGUCUUUCUUCACAUCGCUGACGGUUGUACUUUAGGGGAUUAUAAUCAGAUUAUCAUUAAUGCAUCACCAGGAGGGUCUGCGGUGCUGCCGUGCUCCUGCGCUGGUCAACAGGAUACAGUACCAAAUCUCAAAUGGCAGUAUAGAAAAGAUCCACCACAUGUUUUUUAUGACAUCUAUCCAAUUGAGGAGACUGACCGCUUCAAGGGCCGAAUUCAGAUGGUUAAUGCUGAUGCUCCAGGAAAUUUUACAAUACAAAUAUCGCACCUGACUGCAGAGGAUGAAGGAACGUAUCAAUGUCAGGACAAGAAUCGGACGAGUAACUACAGACUUGUGUACCUCAAAGUAAAAGGACAUAAGAAUUAAAAUACUGACUAAUAUCCCAGAGCAGCUCCCAGUUUCGGUAUUGGAGCUCCUCGGAUGCUUCGUACAACAGUGGCAACAAGCACAAACAGCGGCAGGAAAUCCACAGGGAGCACAAAACAACCAGGAAGAAAUGUGACAAUGAGCAUAUCAAACCUGACUGUAGAGGAUGGAGGAGUGUGUGAACGUCAGGGCAAGAAGCAGUCAAGUAGUCAAGAGUCUUUUCCAUUCAUCCCCAUCACCGUGGGGACUGCGAUCAUCCUGCAAAUUGUGGCUCUGGUCUAUUGCACCACCCAAAAAAAGAUGCUGGUCGGUUUCUCUACAGCGCAACUGAUGGAGAUGGAAGUGUGAAUCUGAAGUUGUGAAACUCAAAACAAGAAAAAUUUUAAUUGCAGUGUUUACAUCAUAUUGUAUUCUUCUUUCGGCUGCUCCCAUUAGGGGCGCCACAGCGGAUUUUCCGUCUCCAUACCCCCCUGUC